UUCGAGUGCAGUUAUAAAUGA
rnacentral:piRNA from 1 species